GAAACACCUUAUGGGGCAGGACUUGCUUCACUGGGGCUUGGUGCUCACUGAGUCUGCCCCUUGAGUGUGUUGCU
rfam:Myotis brandtii contig251836, whole genome shotgun sequence.